ACGGAAGGCAGCAGUAAGGGAUAUUGGGCAAUGGGGGGAACCCUGACCCAGCCAUGCCGCGUGAGGGAAUGAGGCCCUACGGGUCGUGAACCUCUUUUGCCUGGGGAUAACCCCUCCCGCGCGACGGGGGGCUGCAGGUACCAGGCGAAUAAGCAUCGGCUAACUACGUGCCAGCAGCCGCGGUAAUACGUAGGUUGCAAGCGUUGUCCGGAUUUACUGGGUGUAAAGGGCGUGUAGGCGGAGCUGCAAGUCAGAUGUGAAAUCCCGGGGCUCAACCCCGGAACUGCAUUUGAAACUGUAGCCCUUGAGUAUCGGAGAGGCAAGCGGAAUUCCUAGUGUAGCGGUGAAAUGCGUAGAUAUUAGGAGGAACACCAGUGGCGAAGGCGGCUUGCUGGACGACAACUGACGCUGAGGCGCGAAAGCGUGGGGAGCAAACAGGAUUAGAUACCCUGGUA
rnacentral:rRNA from 1 species